GGAGGAAGGAUGGGAAGGACAUUGAAGAGGGUGGAAAGGAUUUAUAGAAGAGUUAAAGAGAGAGGAGGGUGGAAGGAAUGGAUAGAGGAAGGGUUGAAGGACGAGAUAGCGCACAGACUGGGCUUAAAGAGGUGAGAGGAGGAAGGAUGGGAAGGACAUUGAAGAGGGUGGAAAGGAUUUAUAGAAGAGUUAAAGGGUGGGAAGGGUGGAAGGAAUGGAUAGAGGAAGGGUUGAAGGACGAGAUAACGCACAGACUGGGCUUAAAGAGGUGAGAGGAGGAAGGAUGGGAAGGACAUUGAAGAGGGUGAAAAGGAUUGAUAGAAGAGUUAAAGGGAGGGAAGGGUGGAAGGAAUGGAUAGAGGAAGGGUUGAAGGACGAGAUAGCGCACAGACUGAGAUGGGUGGGUGAAGGAGAGGGGAGGGUGGAUAGAGGAAGGGUGCAAUGACGUAGCUGUUAGGUUAGGUUAGGGAAAGGUUUUGAUCUUACACACUGAAGGGGAGAGAGACAACACACAUUAGUCUUCAUGGUGUUUCUUCUUUCAAUUUAUUGUUUUAUUUUUAUUUUUUUGUGAUGGGUGCCUGUGAAGAGAGAGAAAACAAGUGACUAGGUUUGCCAGAGAAUAGAGAGAGAACACAAGUGAUUAGGUUUGCCAGUGAAGAGAGAGAGAGAGAGAACUCUAGUGAUUAGGUUUGCCAAAGAGAGAGAGAACACAAGUGAUUGGGUUUGCCAGUGAAGAGAGAGAACACAAGUGAUUAGGUUUGCCAGUGGAGAGAACACAAAUGAUUAGGUUUGCCAGAGAAGAGAGAGAGAAUACAAGUGAUUAGAUUUACCAGAGAAGAGAGAGAACACAAGUGAUUAGGUUUGCCAGAGAAGAGAGAGAACACAAGUGAUUGGGUUUGCCAGAGAAUAGAGAGAGAACACAAGUGAUUAGGUUUGCCAGAGAAUAGAGAGAACACAAGUGAUUAGGUUUGCCAGAGAAUAGAGAGAAAACACAAGUGAUUAGGUUUGCCAGAGAAUAGAGAGAGAACACAAAUGAUUAGGUUUGCCAGAGAAUAGAGAGAGAACACAAGUGGGUUUGCCAGAGGAGAGAGAGAGAACACAAGUGAUUAGGUUUGCCAGAGGAGAGAGAGAGAACACAAGUGAUUAGGUUUGCCAGAGAAGAGAGAGAACACAAGUGAUUAGGUUUGCCAGAGAAGAGAGAGAGAACACAAGUGAUUAGGUUUGCCAGAGAAGAGAGAGAACACAAGUGAUUAGGUUUGCCAGUGAAGAGAGAGAACACAAAUGAUUAGGUUUGCCAGAGAAGAGAAAGAGAACACAAGUGAUUAGGUUUCCCAGAGAAGAGAGAGAGAACACAAGUGAUUAGAUUUAAGAAUGCAGGAGUCUACAAGAAGCCAGUAGGCCUGUACGAGGCAGCUCCUUUGACCCUAAGCUCCCGUGUAUCUAACCCCACCUAAUAUUGCCAGUUUGCCAGUGGAGAGAGAGAGAACACAAGUGAUUAAGUUUGCCAGAGAAGAGAGAGAGAACACAAGUGAUUAGGUUUGACAGAGGAGAGAGAGAGAACACAAGUGAUUAGGUUUGCCAGAGAAGAGAGAGAGAACACAAGUGAUUAGGUUUGCCAGAGAAGAGAGAGAACACAAGUGAUUAGGUUUGCCAGAGAAGAGAGAGAACACAAGUGAUUAGAUUUGCCAGUGAAGAGAGAGAACACAAGUGAUUAGGUUUGCCAGAGAAGAGAGAGAGAACACAAGUGAUUAGGUUUGCCAGAGAAGAGAGAGAGAACACAAGUGAUUAGGUUUGCCAGAGAAGAGAGAGAGAACACAAGUGAUUAGGUUUGCCAGAGGAGAGCGAGAGAGAGAACACAGGUGACUAGGUUUGCCAGAGGAGAGAGAGAGAACACAAGUCAUUAGGUUUGGUUUGGUUAGGAAAAUUUGUGUUAUAUGUUGGGUCAGGUUAGCUUAGGGAAAUUUGUGUUAUAUGUUGGGUCAGGUUAGCUUAGGGAAAUUUGUGUUAUAUGUUGGGUCAGGUUAGCAUAUAGAAAGGUCUUUUUGUAGUCUCCUUGUGUCUUGUGAUAUGUAACUGAGUCUGCUU